CAAUUUGGACUACAAAAACACAAACCAAGCUUCUUCAUGAUUCUCAAAGCUUUGAUGGUGAACCCAAAGUUCUUAACAGUUUUUGGUUUUGAAUCGUAUAACAAGGAAGUACUACUUUACUCUUCGGGAUCUCGUUGAGGUUCUUGUUUUAUAUUCAAUCAUACACAUGACAUCUACUCAUAUUUCACUCCAAAAUGCUAACCCAGAUUCUUCUUGCUCUUCAAAGCUUUGAUGGUGUAGCCUAAGUCUGUAUGAUUUUUGGUUUUGGAUCUUCUAACAGGAAAAGAUAAAUUUAGGUUCAUAGCCCUGGUUGUGGUUUUAGCCCU
rnacentral:sRNA from 1 species